AGAGUUUGAUCAUGGCUCAGAACGAACGCUGGCGGCGUGGAUAAGACAUGCAAGUCGAGCGCUGAUUACGAGGUAGCAAUAUUUCGUGGUCGGAGCGGCGCAAGGGUGCGUAACACGUGGGUAAUCUGCCAUGAAGUUUGGAAUAACUUGCUGAAAGGCGAGCUAAUACCGGAUGUGACCGUUGGGAGGCAUCUCCCGAUAGUUAAAGUUGGGGACCGUAAGGCCUGACGCUUCAUGAUGAGCCCGCGGCCUAUCAGCUAGUUGGUGAGGUAACGGCUCACCAAGGCUAAGACGGGUAGCUGGUCUGAGAGGACGACCAGCCACACUGGAACUGAGACACGGUCCAGACACCUACGGGUGGCAGCAGUCGAGAAUUUUUCACAAUGGGCGAAAGCCUGAUGGAGCGACGCCGCGUGGGGGAUGAAUGGCUUCGGCCCGUAAACCCCUGUCAUUCGCGAUCAAACCUUGCUAUUUAAAAGAUGGCGAGCUGAUAGUAGCGGAAGAGGAAGGGACGGCUAACUCUGUGCCAGCAGCCGCGGUAAUACAGAGGUCCCAAGCGUUGUUCGGAUUCACUGGGCGUAAAGGGUGCGUAGGUGGUGAGGUAAGUCGGAUGUGAAAUCUCGGAGCUCAACUCCGAAAUGGCAUUGGAAACUACCUUGCUCGAGGGUUGGAGGGGGGACUGGAAUACUUGGUGUAGCAGUGAAAUGCGUAGAUAUCAAGUGGAACACCAGUGGCGAAGGCGAGUCCCUGGACAACUCCUGACACUGAGGCACGAAAGCUAGGGGAGCAAACAGGAUUAGAUACCCCGGUAGUCC
rnacentral:rRNA from 1 species